UACGAGUGCUUCAAGCGUUAUCCGGAAUCAUUGGGCGUAAAGGGUGCGUAGGCGGCGCGGUAAGUCGGGUGUGAAAUCUCGGAGCUUAACUCCGAAACUGCAUUCGAUACUGCCGUGCUUGAGGACUGGAGAGGAGACUGGAAUUUACGGUGUAGCGGUGAAAUGCGUAGAUAUCGUAAGGAAGACCAGUGGCGAAGGCGGGUCUCUGGACAGUUCCUGACGCUGAGGCACGAAGGCCAGGGGAGCAAACGGG
rnacentral:rRNA from 1 species